GAAUCAGUUGCCGUUUUGGGCUUGAAUCUGAUGGACGUAUAUUUUGUGACCUGGCAAUAUUUAUGUGGACUUUCAUUAAUGGAUUGAAAACGUGGAUAGAGAUCUUCACAAACUGGCAGAAACAGGAUAAAACUGUGAUGCAGUCGAGUAAUUGAACGCUCGCAAUUACUGAAACAAGAGAACAAUCGGCUAUUUUCCUAAUUGUUCUAAUUCGCGAAUUCUCACGGGACCAACUUGCUUAAUUCUGAUUGGUUAAAAUCGUCACAUGACUACCAGUGAAUGGCUGGGUCACAACAACGGCCCGGUUUAAGUGUAAAUACCCACCAGAAAACUGCAGAUAGACUGAGAGACGACCACAGAGUUGAAUCCCCUAGACAUCCCAAAGAUUCGACUAUGGCGCUGGAAAUUCCAAGUCUGAACAGCGCUGACCUCAACAACAUUGUUUUUAAACUGUUCAAGUACCCGACAUGUGGACAGCAGUUCCGAAGCCCGAUGACCACCUCGAUCGUCGUAGACAGCUCUGAUACAGAACUUAGCCCUGAGCCACGAACUCCCCAGUUCUCUUCGAGUGCAGGGCCCACGUUUCGAGAAAGUAAUAGAAACUUCGGCUUCACUUUUCCAAUCCCAGCUGCUCAGCCUCCACGAGGUCUGACAACAAAUGAUGCAAAAAUAACACCCUCAGUAUCAAAGACUGACCAGUCCCCACUGCCUCAAGCCACCACAGUGACCAACGGCCAUCUUCACGGCAGUACAUAUGUGUUAGAAGGGCAGAGCCAAGCUGAUGUGGGCACAGAGGCCAACGUCCAGUUUCCUGUUCAGUUGGGGACGAGAUCGGCCGAGAGUCCAGUAGGACUUCAGACAUUCCUUCUCACCUCCUCUGCUGUCAAAGAGCCAUCUCCUGAACCCUCGUACCCAACCAACAUACCAACUACAGUAUUAGAAUCAGCUCAACUUAGCAAUGGACGCUACCCACAACCUAAUCCUCAAGAUAUGCCUAAAGUGCUGGUUAGGGGGGAGGACGGCAAGACGACUUCAUUUAUCAGAUUCCUGAAUGACCCAAUCCCCUUGCCAAAUGAAAUGGAGUACAAGUUGCUGAACAUAGAAGGAUACAGGCCGUCAGAGGAGUCCGUCCAGCAUGAGACAGAUGCUCCUAUUGAUAAUAAAGUCAUCGCAGAUAUUAACGCCAUACAGAGAAUGGAAGAGGAACCAGUGUUACCUGGUGAAGCUUCUGAAAUUGACCCAGCAACGUACCAAACUGUUCAGUACAUCCAGUAUGAAGCUGAUACAAAUGUAAAUCGACAGGUGGUAUAUGUUGAACUGCCAAACUGUCAGGUUGUUGGAGUUGAUUCCCACGAAGUACAAGAUCAAACGCAGGUAAAUGAACAGUUGAUGUAUGAAGAAAUACCAAACGAUUGUCAAGAGGCGAUGGAGGUUGCUGCCUACCAGUCGGUUGAUGAAGCCCAGAACGCCAGUGACGUCCUCACGUACACGGAACUGACCCCCCGGACGCAACCUCCUCCCCCAGAUCACACCCAGCAGGAGGACCUGCAAGAACAGGAUGAGGAAUCCCAGGAAUCUAAAGAGGCCUUAACUCAGAGGUUCGGUGAAAAGUACCACAAUGCUUCUGAUGAGGCGAAACGAGCAUUUGCAUCUGCCGUCAAGGAAAAUUCCAUGAGACCACUUUUAAAGAUGGAACUGAAGCAUAAGAUUCAACUGAAGCGGCUACAAGAAGGGAAGGGAGAGUUGAAAGUGACCUUUGAGGACAGACCGAUCGGCGAGCCAACUGAAGAAGAGAAGGUAAAAUCCAACACGCGGAAACAAAAGAACCGAGAGAGCGCUGUCAGGAGUCGCAAGAAGAGAGAGGAACACCUAAAAAUUCUUGAGAAGACGGUGAAAGAGUUAGAUCGUGAAAACAAAGAGCUGAGUAGAGAAAUCGUCCAGUUGAGGACCUCCAUUGCAGACGAUCUGCAGCAGGUUGCUUGUAUAGGAUGCAAUUGUUUUACCACGAAUACGAAUGCUGCCGACGUUGUCGCGGCAAGGGAUGCGUCGACGAAGUCGCUCCAGGAAGCUAUUAGAGAUGUCCUUGCCUCGGAACAAUAUAAAUACACGUGAUAACGCCGAAAUGUGAAUCAUUCAGUCUGGAAACAUUGAACAUAUCAACGCCUGGAUAUCAGGUCAUGACACCAAGGACAUUAUCAUUGCAAAUAUGUUGUAGGAGAAUACAACUGCAUACAAGGCCUGGUAUCGGGUCCAGUUUGGACUUGAUCGGCGAUUGGACUGUGUGGACACUUUGUGACUGUGACUACUGUGUGUGACAGUGUGACUGGGAGAGUACGUGACUGUGUGUAUGUGACACCAUAUGCGUGGUAGCAAAUGGUGAAAAUGACAUUGGACUCAUUUUAACAGCAUAACGCGUCAUUAUUAUGUGGAGCUGCGAUGUUAAUGUAACGAACACCUGGUGUUUUACGUGUACAGAAUAUCACACAACAAUGCUGAUUUGUUUUGUUUAUUAAUAUAUGAAUAAAUUAUUGGAUAACUU
rnacentral:misc_RNA from 1 species